rnacentral:rRNA from 1 species
UACGUAGGGUGCAAGCGUUGUCCGGAAUCACUGGGCGUAAAGAGCUCGUAGGCGGUCUGUCGCGUCUGCUGUGAAAACCUGGGGCUUAACCCUGGGCUUGCAGUGGGUACGGGCAGACUAGAGUCCGGUAGGGGAGUGUGGAAUUCCCGGUGUAGCGGUGAAAUGCGCAGAUAUCGGGAGGAACACCAGUAGCGAAGGCGGCACUCUGGGCCGGUACUGACGCUGAGGAGCGAAAGCGUGGGGAGCGAACAGG